GCGGAUGUGGCGGAAUUGGCAGACGCGCCAGAUUUAGGUUCUGGUGGCUACGCUGUGCAGGUUCAAGUCCUGUCAUCCGCACCA
rnacentral:tRNA from 1 species